GAACGCAUCUUGCGCUCCUUGGUAUUCCGAGGAGCAUGCCUGUUCGAGCGUCAUUUCAACCCUCAAGCCCCCGGGCUUGGUGUUGGGGAUCGGCGAGCCUCCGCGCCCGCCGUCCCCCAAAUAUAGUGGCGGUCUCGCUGUAGCUUCCUCUGCGUAGUAGCACACCUCGCACUGGGAAACAGCGCGGCCACGCCGUUAAACACCCAACUUCUGAAAGUUUGACCUCGGAUCAGGUAGGAAUACCCGCUGAACUUAAG
rnacentral:misc_RNA from 1 species